UCCACAGUUGCAGACUUGCAGUCACAAUUUAAGCAGAUCUUUCCUCGGCAUGGGGACGUUGCUUCUGUGCCGGCUUUUCAGCUCUGCGUUGCCUGGAACCAGCUCCGUCUAUGGUGCGCUGAGA